CGCAACAAGUUUAAAAGUCUUAAAUCGGACUUUUUUAAAGCAAAACGAAACAAUAAUAAAAGCGGAGCUAAGCGGCAGACAUCAGAGCACUUUGAGUUGCUGGACCAGAUCUUGGGACAUCGUCCAGUGUUGGAGGCAGAAGGAGUAGACGUUGCUGAAAUGGAUAUUGAAAAUAUGGACUUCUCACUGAAUUUGGUGAAGCCACUGAACAUACUGAAAAAGAAAAAUCAAGUAAUGGGUCUCAGGACGAAUUGACUGAAGUGAAAGUUUCUGCCAGCAAUAAUAACUUGCGUAGUUUCAAACGAGCUAGUAGAGAAGCAGACUUACCAAAAAGUGGUUGAAUCUUUUACAAAAGACUGGAAAGAAUCACAGAAGGAAUUACUUGGGACCAGGAUGAAAAAUUGAUAGAUAUGCAGAGCAAAAAGCAAGAGGAAAUUUUGGAAAAAAA